CCCUUAGAUGUUCUGGGCCGCACGCGUGCUACACUGAACGGUUCAAUGGGUAAGGUAGUGCGAAAGCAUGACCUAAUCUCGAAAUCCGUUCGUGCUGGGGAUAGAAGCUUGCAAUUAUCCUUCUUGAACGAGGAAUACCUUGUAAGCGUGAGUCAUCAUCUCACGCUGAAUACGUCCCUGCCCUUUGUACACACCGCCCGUCGCUCCUACCGAUUGAGUGUUCCGGUGAGGCUUUGGGAGAAUGGCCUCAACAUGAGUUUAUCGUGUUUUGCCGUUUGAACUUAGUCAAACCUUAUCACUUAGAGGAAGGAGAAGUCGUAAUA
rnacentral:rRNA from 1 species